rnacentral:rRNA from 1 species
GACGAACGCUAGCGGCGUGCUUAACACAUGCAAGUCGAGCGGAAAGGCCCUUCGGGGUACUCGAGCGGCGAACGGGUGAGUAACACGUGAGUAACCUGCCCCAGACUUUGGGAUAACCCUCGGAAACGGGGGCUAAUACCGGAUACGACACAGCUUCGCAUGGGGUCUGUGUGGAAAGUUUUUCGGUUUGGGAUGGGCUCGCGGCCUAUCAGCUUGUUGGUGGGGUGAUGGCCUACCAAGGCGACGACGGGUAGCCGGCCUGAGAGGGCGACCGGCCACACUGGGACUGAGACACGGCCCAGACUCCUACGGGAGGCAGCAGUGGGGAAUAUUGCACAAUGGGCGGAAGCCUGAUGCAGCGACGCCGCGUGAGGGGUGACGGCCUUCGGGUUGUAAACCUCUUUCAGCAGGGACGAAGCGUAAGUGACGGUACCUGCAGAAGAAGCGCCGGCCAACUACGUG